ACACUGCAUGGGUCUGUGUGAGCUGGCAACCUGCUACCUGUGUCAGUGCUGAGCCUCUGCAAGAGGACAUUGUCAUGAGGCAGAGCAGGCUGAACAAGGCAUAACUGGGGAAAAGCACCAUGAAAAGAGAAGCAACGGUGGGAAGGGCCACGGGGGCAUUUCCUGAGCUACAGAGGAAGUUGGUCUGGAACUAGAAAUGCAUGUUUGUUUUGUAAAUAUUAGAGUUACAGAGUCUGCAAGUUGAUGCCAGCUCCCCUCCAUCACUCCUGCUCACCACUCGCUGGCACAGCCCCAGGAUGAACAAAAGAGGUCAGGUACAGCCUUUGCUCCACAGGGAUCUGUUCGCUGCCACGUGGAACCUGUGCAAGGUGCAGACUGUUGAUAUCUGAGCUCUCCUUGGGGAGAGGUGCUGUGCCUGGAACACCCAGGGAAAAAAACAGAAAUCAUCUCUUCUGAAUUCUUUCUUGUGUAUGUGCUCUGCUGCCUGUUACCUGCCAGAAUGGGACAUGGAUGCUGCCCACUCCCUCUGAGUGUUCUGGGUGCAGACAUCUGGAUGAGCCCUGGCACUUUCACCUCCUUCCACUUGCAGUUCCCCAGCAGAGAUGCAGUAAAAAUGAGCAGUCACAAGAAUCCAAGGAGAUUUGAUUGCCUCUUUGAAGCCAAAAAUUUGAUUUGCUUUUGGAGCCAAAAAAUUCCCAUUCCCAAAUCAAAACCUUUCAGUAAGAAGUAAAAUAAAAAAUAAUUCCCAAAGGUCCUUCUUCGCUCUGUGAACACCAGAAUUACCACAUUGUUCUUCGCAGCCAAGAGUAUGAUGCAAGAAAGCAAAUGGUCACUUAUUUUGUCAUCUUGUCCAUCAAAGAGAGGUCACUGCCUUCCACAACAUUAAGGCAGUAAAUGAGUCUGGAGUUCGCUGUGGGAUCCUGGUGUUGGAUUCUCACAUCACCACAGUUUUGAAAAAUAUCUGUAUUUAAAACCAAAUGAAAACAACAAACAACAAUCAGCCUUUGUGCUUAGACAGAAAUUAAGGAAACGUGUUUUCCACCAGUAGGAGCCCAAGCAUAAAAGCCAGAGGUUCCUAGAAUUAAACUACUUUUUGGAGAGAACACUAUUUGACCCUAGAGCUCUGAUCCUUCCAGUCAGGGCUCUUCACAUGGACCACUGAACACUGCCAGGGGUUCAACUGGUGCUUCCAUGUGGGAUUUCUUGGCCUCCAUGUCCUCAUGCAUCCUUAUGCAGUCUUUGUGUCUAGCUGCAUGUCUCAGUCUUUGCUAUCAAACCAGGAGGGAAACCUGAGCUCAGACUGCAAGAACUGGCUGGAUCCAUCACUGCUGCUGCCAAGCUCUAUUUUCUUUUUUACUUUCCCCCCCCGCCUU